AUGUCGACUAGGGGUUUAGGAUUCUCUGACACUCUUAGUUUCGAUGGCACAAAUUUUGAUGUUUGGGUAAUUCGCAUGCUUAAUCUCUUUAGGGUCAUGGACCCAAAUUUAGAGCGAAUUGUAGAUAUGGGUUUUUCUCCUCCAAAGGAUCCACAAAGAUUAUCUUUAGAGGAUGAGAAAAACUCUUAUCUCAAUGCCCAAGCUUCUAAUGUGCUUUUUGAUGCUUUGAGCAAUGUAGUUAUAUUUCAACUCAUGCCGUUUCUGGAUGCUCAUGAGUUGUGGACAAAGCUUCAAGACAAAUAUGGCAUGUCCGAGAUUUGUGGAGAUGAUUGUCCUCCUUCCACCUCCGGUCGUAUAGUAUUCUCAACUUCUUCUACUUCACCUACAUGUGGUUUGCCACAAGGUAAUGAUAUGGUGAGUAGUGGUGUUCAUUGCAAUGAUUAUAGUGAGCUUAUUAUUGAUGAUCCUUCAUCACUUUAUUAUUGCAAUGCUUCACCUUUGGACUUUAACACUUCGAGCACUCUAAAUGUUUCACAUGCUUGUGUUAAAAGUUCUUGCAUAUCUUGUUGA
rnacentral:rRNA from 1 species